rnacentral:rRNA from 1 species
GACAGAGGGUGCAAACGUUGUUCGGAAUUACUGGGCGUAAAGCGAGUGUAGGCGGUUUGGUAAGUCGGAUGUGAAAGCCCCGGGCUCAACCCGGGAAGUGCACUCGAUACUGCCAAGCUAGAGUAUCGGAGAGGUUGGUGGAAUUCUCGGUGUAGAGGUGAAAUUCGUAGAAAUCGAGAGGAACACCUGUGGCGAAGGCGGCCGUCUGGGCCGACCCUGACGCUGAGGCGCGAAGGCGUGGGGAGCGAACGGG